GAUGAACGCUGGCGGCGUGCUUAACACAUGCAAGUCGAACGAGGGUAUUGUAACAAAGUUUCUUCGGAAAUGGAAGAAUAAUACCCGAGUGGCGGACGGGUGAGUAACGCGUGGGUAACCUGCCUCAUACAGGGGGAUAAUAGUUGGAAACGACUGCUAAUACCGCAUAAGCGCACAGAGCUGCAUGGCUCAGUGUGAAAAACUCCGGUGGUAUGAGAUGGACCCGCGUCUGAUUAGCUAGUUGGUAAGGUAACGGCUUACCAAGGCGACGAUCAGUAGCCGACCUGAGAGGGUGAUCGGCCACAUUGGGACUGAGACACGGCCCAAACUCCUACGGGAGGCAGCAGUGGGGAAUAUUGCACAAUGGAGGAAACUCUGAUGCAGCGACGCCGCGUGACUGAAGAAGUAUUUCGGUAUGUAAAGGUUUAUCAGCAAGGAAGAAAAUGACGGUACCUGACUAAGAAGCCCCGGCUAACUACGUGCCAGCCGCCGCCGUAAGAC
rnacentral:rRNA from 1 species